rnacentral:misc_RNA from 1 species
GAAAUGCGAUAAGUAAUGUGAAUUGCAGAAUUCAGUGAAUCAUCGAAUCUUUGAACGCACAUUACGCCCGCCAGUAUUCUGGCGGGCAUGCCUGUCCGAGCGUCAUUUCAACCAUCAAGCCCCCGGGCUUGUGUUGGGGACCUGCGGCUGCCCGCAGGCCCUGAAAACCAGUGGCGGGCUCGCUGUCACACCGAGCGUAGUAGCAAUCACCUCGCUCAGGGCGUGCUGCGGGUUCCGGCCGUUAAACAGCCUUACAAAACCCAAGGUUGACCUCGGAUCAGGUAGGAAGACCCGCUGAACUUAAGC